AGAGUUCCCUUCUUCAUAGAUGUGGCCUCUCAUUGAAAAUACUUGUGCUCUGACACCUCCUGGAACGUCACUGGCAGCCAAUGGAGGAUUUCCUUUGGUGGAUAUAUUAGUGUCUGAAAGAAAGCAGUCAAUCAUAAUUUCACAGCAGCUCUGGGAGAAUCAGGAUUUUCUCUCUUCUAGUGCUUUUAUUUUCCAAAUGGAAGAGCUGCCGGACCUGUUCUGCCUUGUUCCCACCUGGUGGGGAUUAAGUGGAUGUGACUCUGGGACUGUUCUCUUGAGUAACUCCGCGUGAUAACUUCUGCUUGACUGGUGGAUGAGGGGCUGACAGCUAGUCAGGUAACCUGGGAGGAAGCCUCACAGAGGAGCCUCAAAGAAUAUUUCACACCUAUGUCAUAUGUGCACCUGUGUAAGACCUACCCAGAGCCUAA
rnacentral:lncRNA from 1 species